rnacentral:rRNA from 1 species
AAUUAACGUUGGCGGCGUGCCUAACACAUGCAAGUCGAGCGAGAAAGUUCCUUCGGGAACAAGUACAGCGGCAAACGGUUGAGUAACACGUGAGAAUCUGCCCUUCAGUGAAGAAUACCCUCGAGAAAUCGAGGUUAAUGCUGCAUAAUUUCCUAACGGAAUAAAGAUGGCCUCUUUGCUGUCGCUGAAGGAUGAGCUUGCGGCCUAUCAGCUAGUUGGUGAGGUAAAAGCUUACCAAGGCUAUGACGGGUAGCCGGGCUGAGAGGGCGAACGGCCAGACUGGAACUUAGACACGGUCCAGACUCCUAUGGGAGGCAGCAGUGGGGAAUAUUGGACAAUGGGGGGAACCCUGAUCCAGCCAUGCCGCGUGUGUGAAGAAGGCCUUAUGGUUGUAAAGCACUUUAAGCGAGGAGGAGGCUCUUUUGGUUAAUACCCAAGAUGAGUGGACGUUACUCGCAGAAUAAGCACCGGCUAACUCUGUGCCAGCAGCCGCGGUAA